CUUCACGGAGCCGACCAGCAGCGGGCGCUGGCGGUCAUGGCCGUAGGUGGCGAGCAGUGCCUGCGCCUC
rnacentral:antisense_RNA from 1 species